rnacentral:rRNA from 1 species
GUGGCCUACGGGACGCAGCAGUGGGGGAUAUUGCACAAUGGGGGAAACCCUGAUGCAGCGACGCCGCGUGGGGGAAGAAGCGCCUCGGCGCGUAAAGCCCUGUCAGCAGGGAAGAAAAUGACGGUACCUGAAGAAGAAGCCCCGGCUAACUACGUGCCAGCAGCAGCGGUAAUACGUAGGGGGCAAGCGUUAUCCGGAUUUACUGGGUGUAAAGGGGGCGUAGACGGCGAUGCAAGCCAGGAGUGAAAGCCCGUGGCUCAUCCCCGGGCCUGCUCUUGGAACUGCGUGGCGAGAG